UUCCUUGUCCCUGAGACCCUUAACCUGUGAUGAUGUCAACGCUCACAGGUGAGGUCCUUGGGAGCAAAGACGCACGCAAAAAAAAAAGGCCGAAUAAGUUUCCAAAAGGAAAGAUGGUGGGGAUAUCCACUAGGGGGCGGUAGUGGGUGCGUCCAAUCACGAAACGCCUGAGAAACAAAAGUCCAGAAUGAAGCGAAGUCUUGAGUCGUAGAUUAGCGCCGCAGGUAACUUCCUUCAUAUGCUUGACUCCCAAUUGUCUUAUUGUUUUGUGUUAUUAGUUUUCACGCUGUUUAAUGAGCGCACACCGUGUCUGACAAUUCCAAUCCGCAAAUAAAGCACAGCAGUCGUUUUGAAA